rnacentral:tRNA from 1 species
GCGGAAGUAGCUCAGUUGGUAGAGCAUAACCUUGCCAAGGUUAGGGUCGCGAGUUCGAGUCUCGUCUUCCGCUCGA